AUUGAACGCUGGCGGCAUGCUUUACACAUGCAAGUCGAACGGGCUGGGGGCAACUCCAGUCAGUGGCGAACGGGUGAGUAAUACAUCGGAACGUACCUCGUAGUGGGGGAUAACUCGGCGAAAGCCGUGCUAAUACCGCAUAUGCUCUACGGAGGAAAGCAGGGGACCGUAACAGGCCUUGUGCUAUGGGAGCGGCCGAUGUCCGAUUAGCUAGUUGGUGAGGUAANGGCUCACCAAGGCGACGAUCGGUAGCUGGUCUGAGAGGAUGAUCAGCCACACUGGGACUGAGACACGGCCCAGACUCCUACGGGAGGCAGCAGUGGGGAAUCUUGGACAAUGGAGGAAACUCUGAUCCAGCCAUGCCGCGUGAGUGAUGAAGGCC
rnacentral:rRNA from 1 species